AACGUAGCCCCAUACCCGAGCAACGGAUGCAGGAGGCAACAUGUUCGUCGACGUGGUGGUUCUCGCCGGUAUCGGCACCGUGGGACUGAUGGUCCUGUUCUGCGCCGGGUUCACGUAUUUCAUCUGGAGAGACGCCAGCAAGAAAAAGCCGCGCUGAAUACGGAUUCACGAGCACGCAAGGCAUUGGGGCGACUUCGGUCGCCCUUUUUUUCG
rnacentral:sRNA from 1 species